GUAAGACUUGUUGAUUACACAUAGAUGAUUUAACUACUUUUUUCUUCAGCGCUCCGAAAAGACACAGAGGCCAAUAGUUUUAAAUAGAGCACCACAAACAACAGGUAUUCCUUUAGAAAUAAACUUUUCUUGUGUUACUUCUAAAAUCUACAGAUUCUUAACUCUGCAACAGUUAGACAGAGGGGGUUACAGUUAGGCCUCCAACAGUCAGCAAAACAAGUCAUAAAACAAUAAAAGAGGCUCCCUUAUCAAGAGCAUCCCAGCACACAUCCCAACUGUAGUUCCAUUACAAACAGUUUCCUUUAUCUUAUCAUGUCAGAGGCCAACUGAAACCAAGUCCACCUAUAUAAAAAACACCCCAUCAGACACAGUAUUUUCCUCAGCACUUCACAACUGCCGCAAGGUAUAGCGUUUUAACUUUUUUUUUUUCGGAUCCCAGACACACGGUAGUUAGCACACAGUUUGGACACGUAGAAAACAUCGUUUGUUUGAAACACAUCAGCAGAGAGGUAGAAUUCAUAGCUGUUCAUAAGAGUUUAAUUUAAUCAAACCUCAUUUUACGGAUCUAAGUGGCUCCUCAUCACUAGCCAAUUCACCAUUUUAUUUAAAUAUCUGAAUUUUCGGAAUGAGGAUCCAAGCGGGACACAGAGGAUGCUAGUUUUAACACACCAGAAUGCAAAUAUAAAUAAAAGCCUGACUAUCCUAAGAGCCUAGCUGCAGCGACACCUUUUUUUUCACACGGAUUCCUGGAUGUGCGUUCGAGCCGACUUUGCUACCCGCACAGAGCGUUUCUGCCAGUCGGGUGCUGCUUAUACAGUAGAGAAAAGCAACAGUAAAGCGUGUUUCUCUGCUCCAAGAAAUCCGAGGGCCUUUCACACAGUAAGCAUGUCUGUUAUACCCAGCGCAUAAAUGUCUCUGUGUUAGCGCUGAUUAUUCAAACCCUGUUUAAAAUGUGACACAUAUGUUAUCCAAAAACGUUUCCUCUAAAUUUGCAAAGUUACUGAUUUAAAAAUUAUAUUUUUGAAUUUUUAAUUGCAUGACAAACAUACGAUAGACUCUUGAGCAUAUUUAUAUAGCUAAAUUCACAAUGGUAUAACCGUGCUAAAUAAAAGAGGCCCAAGCACCAAAGCACUCUAAUGCAAGCCUCUAAACUGUAUGUUGAUAAGUACAUGAAGCGUACCUUUUCCUCUACAGCUGAAAACAGUCUGUAUCCAUACCUUGAGGAUCUGCUGAAUUGUUUUUAAUGGCACUUUUUUUGCUGAACUGCAGAUGAUGAUGAAUUCCUCUUUAUUGUAGAAACUGUCCCUAAGCUAUUGUUGCUCAUACUUACUGAGUUCCCUAGCUACUUCCUUACUAUGUCAGUAAACUUUUUGAAAAGGAAGCUGUUGUAGAUUUAAAGAAACAUCUUAAUUAAAGCAAAGGCAAAAAAUUGGAAUGAAUUUUAUGUGACUGUUCAUAUUAAAGCCAACAAGUGAAAAUCCAAAAACGGCUCCAAUCCUUUGCAUUAAUGAUCUCCCUCUCUCUCUCUCUGUGUGUGUGUGUGUGUGUGUGUGUGUGUGUGUGUGUGUGUGUGUGUGUGUGUGUGUGUGUGUGUGUGUGUGUGUGUGUGUGUGUGUGUGUGCACCCAAACAACCCCUAUUUCGACCAAAGGGAGGCUUUCUGGUUAAUUAAAACAUAUUUCUGUUCUUUAAGGUUUGAGUGUCUACCAACUACUGAACUUCCUUGUUCAAUAAUUUCUUUAGCAGGAAAAUGAGAGGGCUUCCCCCCAUCUAUGAGGGCAAGGUAUUCUGAAAUCUUCUGCUACCUGCUGCUGGUUAUUGUUGGUUUUACUUCCUUAUAUUCAAGGUGUGCAACAAAGGCUAUAUUAGUACACAGCUUUCUGAAGAACCAGGAAACUGACCCGGUGACAUUUACCGCAAGAGAUCAGCACAGAAAUACACAUCCUCAGAAGUUGCCUCGCAUUAUCUUAUUCUUUGAAAUUGACUUGUAGCACACACACCUCGUGACAUACACACACACACACACACACACAGCUUACACACAGACAGCAUCGGGACCUGCGUAACAGGAAAUGUGAUUAUAUUUGCAUAUUGACGAUGUAACCUAUAAAAAUAAACGAAUACUGCAGCUCGGUGUGAUUUACUCUCUGAGUUUCACCCGUGCCGC
ensembl:lncRNA